rnacentral:rRNA from 1 species
GAUGAACGCUGGCGGCGUGCCUAAUACAUGCAAGUCGAGCGAAUGGAUUAAGAGCUUGCUCUUAUGAAGUUAGCGGCGGACGGGUGAGUAACACGUGGGUAACCUGCCCAUAAGACUGGGAUAACUCCGGGAAACCGGGGCUAAUACCGGAUAACAUUUUGAACCGCAUGGUUCGAAAUUGAAAGGCGGCCUCGGCUGUCACUUAUGGAUGGACCCGCGUCGCAUUAGCUAGUUGGUGAGGUAACGGCUCACCAAGGCAACGAUGCGUAGCCGACCUGGGAGGGGGAUCGGCCACACUGGGACUGAGACACGGCCCAGACUCCUACGGGAGGCAGCAGGAGGGAAUCUUCCGAAAUGGACGAAAGUCUGACGGAGCAACGCCGCGUGAGGGAUGAAGGCGUUCGGGUCGUAAAACUCUGUUGUUAGGGAAGAACAAGUGCUAGUUGAAUAAGCUGGCACCUUGACGGUACCUAACCAGAAAGCCACGGCUAACUACGUGCCAGCCGCCGCGGUAA